UGGGAAGUCGUCUGCGCCGAGCACGGCAUAGAUCCGACCGGUCGUUACAUCGGAGACUCAGAUCUGCAACUCGAGCGCAUCAACGUCUACUACAAUGAAGCUAGCUGCGGUAGAUUCGUCCCUCGUGCUGUACUCAUGGAUUUGGAGCCUGGAACCAUGGACAGUCUCAGAUCUGGACCGUACGGUCAGACUUUCCGUCCUGAUAACUUCGUCUUCGGUCAGUCUGGUGCGGGUAACAACUGGGCCAAGGGGCAUUACACUGAAGGAGCUGAGCUAAUCGAUUCCGUCCUCGAUGUUGUUCGUAAGGAAGCCGAGAACUGUGAUUGUCUUCAAGGUAAAUCUUCAAGAUACAUUCGAUUUUUGGGUUGAUUUCGCUUUUGUUCAACUGUUUUCCUGAGUGAUGGAGUUUGAAACUGUGUGGAUUUUGCUCUGCAGGGUUUCAGGUUUGCCAUUCCUUGGGAGGAGGAACUGGAUCUGGUAUGGGAACACUCUUGAUUUCAAAGAUCCGUGAAGAGUACCCAGAUCGAAUGAUGCUUACCUUCUCUGUGUUCCCUUCGCCAAAGGUCUCUGACACUGUCGUUGAGCCUUACAACGCUACUUUGUCUGUGCAUCAGCUUGUUGAGAAUGCAGAUGAGUGCAUGGUUCUUGACAACGAGGCCUUGUACGACAUUUGCUUCAGGACUCUGAAACUCACCACCCCAAGCUGUAAGUCCUACUAAGCUUUCAUUGUCUCAUUGGUUCUGUAUCCUUAUGUGUAGUUCUGUUGAGCUGUCUCCUUUCUCUGUGUGAUGCUUUUUUGUUUAUCUGUGGUCAAUAUGCUUUGUCUAGAUAGUGAAAUGAUUUGGUAAUUGUUUCGUAUAGCCAUUACAAUUUGCAAUUUCUGGCCUGAUUGAUACUCUCGCUAUCUACUGGUUUCAUUGGUCUGUUCUUGCAUAGAUACGCGUCCUGUCUCAUGUGUUAUUGGUUAUCUUCGUUGAUCUCAUCACCAAAAUAAAUCGUUGAGUUACUCUCUGGUUAAGUGUCAUCAUUUUAUUUGGUACGUCUUGUAGCAUAAGGGAUACUCAGAAUCUAGUAUUUGUAUAGAGCAGUAAAAAUUGUUGACUGCCUUUAGUUAUCUGAAAUUGAACUACCUGCUCUAAAAUGUAGUGUUGCUUUUGCGGUACAUCUUUGUUUUCCUGUGUGUGUGUGUAAAUGACUAAGAGGUAACUCACAUACUUGUUCACUCUCUUUAUGCAGUUGGUGACCUGAACCAUUUGAUAUCUGCCACAAUGUCUGGUGUCACAUGCUGUCUGCGAUUCCCUGGUCAGCUAAACUCUGACCUUCGUAAGCUUGCUGUCAAUCUUAUCCCAUUCCCUCGUCUCCACUUCUUCAUGGUGGGAUUUGCUCCUCUCACCUCAAGAGGAUCUCAGCAGUACCGAUCCCUCACAGUCCCUGAACUCACCCAGCAAAUGUGGGACUCCAAGAACAUGAUGUGUGCUGCUGACCCAAGACACGGCCGCUACCUCACAGCCUCUGCCAUGUUCCGUGGCAAGAUGAGCACCAAGGAAGUCGACGAGCAGAUGCUGAACGUGCAGAACAAGAACUCUUCUUACUUUGUCGAGUGGAUCCCAAACAAUGUGAAGUCAACAGUCUGUGAUAUCCCACCUACUGGUCUGAAGAUGGCUUCCACCUUCAUCGGCAACUCAACAUCUAUCCAAGAGAUGUUUAGGCGUGUUAGCGAGCAGUUCACAGCUAUGUUCAGGAGGAAGGCUUUCUUGCAUUGGUACACAGGUGAGGGCAUGGACGAGAUGGAAUUCACAGAGGCAGAGAGCAACAUGAACGAUCUUGUUUCCGAGUACCAGCAAUACCAAGACGCAACCGCAGAUGAAGAAGGCGAGUACGAGGAUGAGGAAGAAGGAGAAUACCAACAGGAGGAGUAUUGAGAGAGAGUAAGUGUACACCACCUUAAAAAAUCAAUUUAGUCUUUUGCUUUUCUUUCUUUUUUAAAACAAAGAAACCUCAACUACCAGUUGCAGGUUUUUUUUAUGCUUGUAUUAACAACUCUGGAUCUUGUUGACUUAUGGUGUGGUUUGUGUACUUUUGAUCUUAAAAUUCGGUUCGUUCUUCGUAUAUCCCCUGUUUAAUUUGAAUCUUGACGUCUGGUUUUGUUUGUUUUUAUUUUUGUUGUUUUGAAUUUUGAAGAUAUAUAAGGCAAAAUAUUAUGAUUCAAAAACCCGAGAAUUAAAACAAUAGAAAGGAGAGUUCCCAAAUUUCUAUUAAGGUAAAUAACGUUUUGUGAGUCCGAUUCAAGGAAAACAGUAUUAGGGGUUUACUAUUUUAGGGUUUUUUAAGAGACUCAAAGCUUAUGUACGAUACAAGCACCGAUCUAACCGAUGACGCCGGUCUACACUCUAACGACUGCCUGUGAAGUCUCAAUUGAGAUUUUGAUGCGUCUCCAAGCUUAAGUCCUUGAUUAUCACCAGCAGAGAAUUCAGGAAUCGGCACUUGAAUACUGCUUCUUCCUCAGCUUCUCCUCGUCCCGUCUCCUCAUUGUUUUUGAGGACUUUUACAGAGAAAAGCUUCCGGUAGAUUUGUCGCCUCUUCCUCCUCUUCUUCUUACAGAGAUCUUAGCCUAGUCAAAAUUGAUGGGAGAAAGGUGUAUAAUCCGUGUCUUUAGUGAUCACUUCUCUAUCACCUAGACAAAUCUCACUUUUCAGUAAUUGCUCCAGUGCACAUUCUUCAAUCAUGUAGUGGGUUAAACGAUUUCGAAAUGGGUCAAAGAUUCUACCACUUGUACUAUAAUGCUAUAAAGGACACCUGCAUUGCAAGCACAUCCCUUGUCAUCUCGGAUAAAAUUGAAAACUUGCAGCGGUUCAAUUUCCACCAUCCCAAAACAUAACAUCAUAAUCUGUACCGAAUAUAUUUUUUUUUGGAGUUUCACAUUUCUCCUUUAAACAUAUAUCCAAUUUCGUACCUGAAUCUUCAGUUCCUAACUCAUCUACCAUUUUUUGUACACAAAAUCCAUUUUUCAUAUCCAAUCUCAAAAUCUAAAUCUAUUUUUGUCAAAGACAUUACCUGUAGCAUGAUCUUGAAUCGAAUUACCACUCCGAGACUCAGUACCUGUGAAUUUAGAUGAUGUCUCACCUCUAGAUAGCUUGCUGCUAUACUCCUCAAACAACUUCUUCAUAACCGUAGUCACAUAAUCAGACAACUCCCUUGAUUCAGGACUAUCUUUUUCAUAAAUCCCGUCAAAAUAAAGUGUAGCAAACCUUAUUUUGUUUCUCGGAUCUAAGAUACUCGCAAUGAUUAGAAGCUUAUUGAUCUCUGAUCAUCCUAGUACUUAUCAAAUUUCUCUCUCAUUGCAUCAGCCUUUGUCCUCAUUGUUGGAUCCUGAUCAGUCUUAGCUUUAUCAAGUUGGUUUCGAUAGUCACAAUCUCAUUGUAACACUUGUCAGAAUUCAGUGAAGUAGAUGCUGAAACAGCUAAAGUAGAGUUGUAAAAGAUAAUCAGAAACCUUACUCAUCUUGCAACCGAAUCCCAAUCAUCCUUUGUUACUGGUCCAACUCUCUUAUUUCCUUCUACUUGUUCUUGAAAGUAAGCAUUGUAGAGCAUGUAUUCUGCUUGCAUUCUAUCAAAACCUGUCCUUAACUUCAGAGCUCUUAUCAGCAUAAGGUAAGUUGAAUUCCACCGUGUUUUACAUUCUAAGGGUAAACUGCCUCUUGACAUUUUGCUGAUUCCACUCUUAGAUCGAAUGUCUUUAUUCUGUUAGUAGAAGCUCUCACAUACUGAACACCAUUACAGAUCGCAGAUACACUUUUGCCAACUUCAUGUAACCCAUCAUUCACUAUCAAGUUAAUGAUAUGAGUAACAGAAAGUAAAUGCAUGUGGUCACCUCCUAAAACCAAUGCGUGAUCACCUGUUCUGCUGAAAGCCUCCUUAAACUUCCUCGGUGCACUGGUGUUGGCAGUGGCGUUGUCAACAGUGAUUGUGAAGACCUUCUCUAUCCCCCAAUCAGCCAAUCACUCUAGCAAAACUCUGCGAAUUGUAUUUCCCUUGUGAUCGUCGAUGUUCUUAAAUCCUAUGAUCAGCUUCCUUAUAAUUAGCUGCCACUUUACAUCAAUGAAGUGAGCCGUGAUGACCAUAUAGCUAGCUCUGGUUGUGGGAGCAACCCAAAUAUCAGUUUUCAAAGACACCAUUUGCUUGUUUGCACCAAGCACCUUUCUCAUAGCAGAUUCCUUCUUAAUAUACAUCCCCACAAAUGUGACUGUUCUCCUUGACUUUGAAUUUGGAAGAUUCACACAAUUGCAGAAAUGUCUCCAAGCCGGAAUUUCAAUAAAUGAAAGUGGCAAUUCAGCCAAAAACAAUCAUCUCAUUCGAUACUUCUCUAACCACUUCUUCUGAAACCUUGGACAACUGCAGAGUACCACUUCCAUCUUCAAAAACUAUGAUAUUCUGCCUGUCUCUUUCUAGUUUCCUCCCACACAAUAUGUUCCUUGCGAAUUUCCAGAUGCUUCUUCAAGCUUGAACGAAGUUCCACACUUGGUGUUACAGGACAUCGAUUUACCACAAUAAUGACAUAUGCAGGUGUUCACAUCCUCCUCAGUUCUAGUAACCUUGUGUUACUCUUAGUGACCUUAAAUUUCUUUUUUUUGGCUUCGACGGAGUUGAAAUAGUUUCACUCCUUGGAUUCUCCUUGCUUAUGUUUGUUUUUCUCUGUGCAAGGGUAGUUCCGUGAUCAUCUUCAGCAAAAACAUCCUUUGUUGGUGAUGAAGAAUCCAUCUGCAUAAACAUUAGAGAACUUCUUUCAGCUUUCUAAGAACACCCAAAACCCAAAUCCAGACAUGAAAGAUAAAACUCAAAUCGUGAAAUUAAAGAGAAACAAUCAAGACAGAAGAAUCAGAGAAGGAACAUUUACCUGCGAAUCAACUAUCAACGACGAUAAAGGAGGAGAAUGGUGGUGGUGAUCGUGAAAUUGAACUAUGGUUUCAAGUUUUUCCAAUUUGGGAUUUAAUAUAAGGGGGGAAAAAUAGAGAGAAGAAAUUGAAUGUUUUUUUUUCUACAUAUAUGUUUUGUAUAUGAUUUUCAUUUUUCAGGGGUAGGUUUAUGCAAUUAAGGUGUUGAUUAGUUCACCCUCCGAAAACGCCACGCUGCGUUUGCGGUUGGUAGCGGUUAGUUGCGUUUUAUAACAGUCAUACAAAUUGCUGCAAACGCUCCAUAUCAUUUUAUACCGCUGAAAUCCAAAGCUGCUUCCCGCCAGCGUUUGCGGUUUCGAGCGGUAGCGGUUGGAUAAAAAAAAAUAGAAGAUCACGUUAAAAAAAAUUAUUAAACCCUAACUCUACUAACCUUUAAUUAGUAAACAUAAUUUGGAGUAAUAUUUCCAACAAUUGAAAUAAAAUAUAUUAUUACAAAAUUUCUUAGUUUUUAAAAUAAUUAAAUAGUAUUUAUUUAUAUUUUUUUAUUAAUUAUUUUGAAUUGAUUUUGUUAUUAAGCAUGAUAAUAUAGUUUUUAUGUUUUUUUAAUCAUUAGUUUUGAUGUUUAUUUUGGUAAUUUUAUGUUUAACCGCUAAAACAUUUGCUGGUUCGCCAGUUAAAAAUAUUCCGCAAACGGAUCCGUUUAAAAAAAUUUAACCAGUCGUGGACACCGCUUAACAACGCUCAAAACCACAAUCUCCCGCUUCCGCAAACUCCCGCACUCGCAACCGCAACCCUGCGUUUAAACCAGUCAAGCCCUAAUUCAAAGAGUUUUUUUGUUAUUUGCACGUUUAUAUUUCUGUUCUCGGGUUUACCCUAACCCAAACCAAGAACCAAAUCAAAUAAAUUUUAGAACCAUUCGGUUUUUGCAUUCAACCCAAAUCAACCCCGAACCUGUUUUUUCCGGGUCGGUUUGGUUCGGGUCGAGCGGGUUUGAUUUUUAAGCCCAGACUGAGUACCAAAUGCAUAAACAUCAGUUCUUCUAGAAGUUCCAUUAUUGUUAGCUCAGGUGUGAUGCUGCUAAGGUUAGGGGAUCGUAGAUGAAGCUUUAAAUUUAUUAAACCCUAGUUUCUGCAAAUGCACAGUCGUGCGAUGUAGUAGUAGUACUUAGGGUGUUGAUCCACAUGAAGGUUGUCUAAUCUGUAAAAACUUCAAACUGGAAUAAGUAAGCGAUUUAAUAAACUCAUGAUAUUUUUGUGAGGUUUUUGUUUUUUUACGGGAAAAGAAAACAAUAAAUAAAACUAAAGAAAAUCUUAAACUAAUCGAUAUAGGCCUAAUAAUGAAAUGCAUGUUGGGCUGUGAUAACACCGUAUUUUGACCACUUUUAUGGAUCGUUUAGAAUACUUUUUCUAUGUUUUCUAUUGCUUUCAAGUACUUUUAUCACGUUUUUCUAGUAUUUGUAGUUCCAAGACUCUUUUCAGGAAACUUAGGGAAAAGCUUAACAAAAUGGAUAGAAAACCAGAUUUUUAGCUCAGAGUCAAACCGUCAGAAGUUCUCCACCGAUUGAAAGCCUUCUCACCGUCUGAUCCAGCUCAAAUUUGGAGAUCUCAAAGAUAGAAGUAUCAGCUUUCCAGCACACUUUACAGCUUGGCAAUCCAACGGUUCAAUCAAAAGAUACGCGAAGAGCAAGAUGUCCCGUAAACCAGCUGGCGAGCAUUUCCACCCGCGGCCAACAGGCCAUUCCCUGCGGUCACAAGCAUCCAGACCACUGCCAGCCAUCCAUUCCCCGCGGUCACGCACAUCCCGACCGCGGCCAGCUAACUCCAAGUUUGAAGGCCCAUUUCUGAAGACCAUAUCAUUUUCUCAGCCUCAAUUCCGGAACCCUAAACACCAGAGAGUAUUGGAGACUAUAAAUACAUAUCAUUUAGGUCGUUUUUAAAAAGAGAAGAGGAGAGACGAAAUACUUUAGAGAAAUUUUACUUCAAGCUUUGUUUUUAGGUUUUAGGGAGAGAGAGAUUUGUCUCUUGAACCCUUGUUCUUUCUUUUUCAAUUUUGGUUUUUGUUCUACUUUUUAAUACUAUGUUUUUGAUUUCGUUCAUUAUGUCUGAGUAGUUUUAUUGUUGGGUCUAAGGGAUUUUUGAUGGGGAUAUAUGUGUUCGAUGAUGAUUCCAUGAGCUAUUGAGCCGAAUCUUAGACCUUUUUCUUCUGAAUUCGUUUUUACUGCAUGAGAGUAGCGUCAUGAACUACAAUCUGAUCCAGAUACUUGGUGACACGAAAGUGUUCAUCCGAUGUCAGAUCUAGUUUGGGAGAUCAAAACAAACAUAGGAGUAGAAACCUACCUAUGGACAAUUUGUGAAUGCUGACGAGUCUUAAACAUAAUGCAUCUAUUCUCUUCCAGGGCCAGAGUGGAAACCUACUGGUCAGUGUUGAGAGAUAUAGUUAUCUAUGAUCACGACAAUGGUGUAUUCAUACGUCCGUGACUCCAGUUCGAAAAGUUUAAGCUAAGAUCUUAUCAAAUUUACUCUCUCUAGCAAUGUUUUGAAUCGUUCAUACCCCUGAGAAAACUUCACUGAACCCCAGCGCCUUCUUUCCUAUAGAUUUACACCGAUUUUCAUUCAUGCUUUAGUCUAGUAUCUUUACUCUUUCAAUCGAUUUUCAUUUAAGCAAUUAGGUUUAGCCGUUUUUCUCGUUUUUAGCCGUUUUUGUUAAGUUUAGUUAUUAUGUCAUUUUAAUUUCCGUAUUUUCCUUUUAAGAUUAGUUUUUACGUUUUAAACACACCACCAAAACCCUCACAAAAAUCACCUGGUUCUAGACUUCCUUACUUUAUAUUUCUUUCAAAGGCUUUUGCAGGAAAGAUCCUCCUUCCCUGUGGAUUCGAUCCCUAAGUACUACAAUCGAUCAGCUGUGCACUUGCGGCUAUUGAUUUCAUUUAGGGUAAAACUUGACACCCUCACGCAGACACCACAUCAAAUUUUUGGCACCGUUUCCGGGGAAGGCACGCAUUUUCUUUUCCGCAAAACCCUAAGAAAGGUUGGUAAAUCGACUCUAGAACCCCUUUUUCUGCAUAUUUCCAUUUUUUCGGUUAUUUUGUUUCCAUUCCAGAAGCAAUGGAUCCUAUAAAUCGAAAUCCCUACUAUGAGGGAGGCUUUUACAACACUCCUCAAGGCACCAGACGCAAAGAAAAACAAUACCUACGUGAUCUCUACGAAGAAGUUCGAACCGAAGACUACAGAACGUUCCUGAACGAGCCUUACAUGCCUCUAAUGGUAAACCCUAGACCACCUAUGUAUCGCCUACCUCACCAGGUUCUCCAGCAAGAUGAGAACUUCCAUCUCAGUAACCGAUUGAGUCAGCUCGAGGGCGUAAUCAAGCAGUUCAUAGAAGCUCAAGUAACCGCUACAACCGCUCUUAAUGAAAGGAUUGACGGGAAAUCAAAACUUUUCAAUGAGAAGAUCAAUAACCUAGCUUCACAAGUCAAAUGAAUAGAAGAACGAGCAACCAAAGACGCAGCUAUGAUCGCUAACAGGUUCGACAACAUGGAAGAAGAGCAGGCAACACACACCUACGAGCUUCGCAACACUAAAAACAAAAUGAUGGACCUGAAUUUCAAACUUGAUGAUGUGGACAAAGCCCUCAACGAAGCUAAGAACGAGUCUUAUGACUUCACAGUCAAAUUUUCAGAGAAAGUUUACAAAGUCAUUGACAAAACCGAAGAGCUUGACUCAACUAUGGACAAAGUAGUCUAUGCUCUUGAUGAAGUUGAAGAAAAGGUUGAGGAGAUCAUACAAGGACUUGGAGAGCAGAUUCCAGCAGCCAAAACUAAAGACCUCAUUAGUACCAAUCAGUUGAACAUCUUCUUCAGUAACCUGAUUUGAAGAGCCAACAAUCCAGAAAUCAAAAAGGAAGAAAGUAGAGCAUACAAAAUACUACACUUGCAUUAGGAUAGCCAAUAGACAUGAAAACAAAAUACACUGACAAACAAGUUUUGGGAAUCAAUACGUACUUCUUUCCGGGAAAAAGAUCUCGAAAACAAGCGGUAGAGCAGUUUUCUUGUUAAUCCAGUCACUCAAACUAGUUGAGCUUCUCGUGGAUUGUGGAUUCACCAUAGCUAAUUCCGAACCAUGAGGAAUUGUGAAGGCUAUGAUCUUCAGCGUCAGUGAUGGGUGGUGGAUUCACCAUAGCCGAAGCGAAUCAAGAAGGAUCUUCUCAAAACAAAAGACAAACGAAAUCCAGCAGAAAGAGUAAUUAUUAUAUCACCCAAGAGUAAUUAUUAUAUCACCUAAUUACGUAAGUCGAUCGGUUCAACGAAAAACAAAAUUAAUUAUAAAAUCUCACGCUAUUUGGUUUUUGGUGAUUGAUCUUUUUCGUUUUUUUUAAGGGAUAAAAAUAUCAAUAUUUUAAACUUAAUAAUGAAAAUGUUAGACCGCUUCUUGACAUGCAUUGCUUUAGCGGAGUAAAAGUGUAAAACGCAUGCAACAAAGUAAUGUUUCUAGCAAAACUUCUCACCCAAGUUAGGUCACAUUUUACAAGAUCUCCAAUCCGAUCCCUAGUUAGGUCAUUUACAAAAUUCAUCUUGAAACUACGAUCUGGCCAGCACUUUUCGAUGAGCUAGCGGCAGCAAAAGAGAGGGAUCAGUGCCUUGCUUUCGUUGAGACUGUACCGUAGCAGAGAUGCAUAUAUGGUCCUCACAUACUUGAUCAAAUCUAAAAUUGUCUCGUCCUGAAUUUACUCCUUUAACAUCCUGGUGAGGAGGUUCAUAAGCACAAACUAAAAGAAAAAUUGACAUAGAAAGAAGAAUAUUAAAAUAGGUUUACCCAUAAAAAAGUCUCAUUAUAUAUAAUAAACCGAACGAGAUUGUGUCAUAGAAGAAGAUUAGCUUGAGAGCUCGCUGUAGCAAUCCCAAAACAUUAUCUAAUUUCUUUUUGUAUAGUUUGUUUUAAUUACAGGAUAUGAAAACAACAACACGUAAAAAGAGGAUAGGCUACAAAACAUGCAACAUUAUAGAGGGAAUACAAGAAAAAUGUAAAAAGCUAAUUGAUACGUACAUCUAACAAGAAAUGGAUCGACAUGAAACCAAGUGGUCGUCUGGAAGAAGAAAAAGAAGUCAUCAUAAAUAAUUAAUUAGGUGUUUUAUUUAUAAAUUUCAAUUUUGAACCAAGAAGAACUCUAAACACAAUCACUUAAAUUGUAUCAUUUUUGUAAUUGAUAUUAUUUUGAAUCACUUAUUAACAAUUGAUAUAAACAUAUGUAAUUUAACAUCAGUUAUAUAACUGAUUUUACCAUUAAUUAAUUUAGCAUUGAUUCAAUGAUAAAUGAUACAAAUUUUUAUUAAUUUAUAUCACUUUAUGAAAAGUGAUACAAAAAUAUGAAAACACAUUACUUAGAUAAUUGAUAUAACUACAUUUUUUGUUAAUAUUAAUUAAGAAAAUGAUACAAAUAUUACAUCAAUAAAAAAAAUGAUGCUAAUAAGUUUUUAAUUAUCUAUGAUGUUUGUCCCAUAUUGAUAACUAAGAGAGGAGUUGAGAAGUUUGAUUUUUUAAAAAUACCUAUGAUUUAUCUGCGGAUUCUAAAAACCAAUAUCAAAGUUUUUCAUAUAUAAAACGCUUAAAUAAAAUAUUUUAUAAACUAAUAUUAAAAUAAUUUAUAAAAGUUAGUACUAACUUAAAAUGAUUACAUAUAUGUAAAGUUGAUAAAAUGAUCUUUGUAUAAUUGAUGCAAUUAUGCAAAUAUUUAUAUCACUUGUUUAACUGAUGCAAAUAUUUACGUCAGUUGUUUAACUAAUAUAAAUAUUUGUAUAAUUGAUGUAAAUAUUUACAUUAUCAUUUUUAGAAUCACUUAAAUAAGUGAUAUAAACUUCUUUUACAUCAUAUAUACGUAAUGCAAAUAUAGAAAAUAAAUGAUGUAAUUCACAUUUUUUUUUCUUGUAAUGACACUAGAUUCAACAGCGAUAAUGGAAAUCAUGAAUUCGAGAUUCAACACGGAAAUAAGAAGCAUGAAUCAUGGGACAAACCGGGUGGACAAUUUCUAAACUUAUUAUUUUAUUUUUAAUUUAUAAACUUAUUUAAUAGCAUUUAAAUUUUAAUGAACACCUACAAAAUUGCGAAAAAUUAAAUAACAAAUUGCUUAGAUCCCUAGAUUCUCGUAGAUCUUAGAGCUCAAUAUUAAUGGAUAUAAGAGGUUUUUCAUCUAUUAUAUUAAAACAGAAACACUUUUAGUGUUUGUUUCCAAACACUCCCAAAAUUUUUUUUUAAAUAUAUAUAUAUAUAUAUAUUUAAUAUCGAAAAUUAGAUAUUUAUUUAGAUAACUAAUAAUUUCCUUAAAUAUAGGUAUAUCUAUAGUCUAUAGAUAUUAAUUUAAAUAAAAUUCUUUAUAUAUAGGUUAGAUUUAAUUUAACAUUUGAAAUUUAAAUAAGAUUUUCAGAAUAACACAUAUGUUUAACAAAUAUCUUACUAUAUUUUUUUAAUCAUAUUCUAUCAAAUUAAAGAUUCACAUAUUGAAAAGAGAUAAAUAUUAAUAUUAUAUAAUAAAUUGAUGGAACAAAUUAAAUUUUUUUAUUAUUAUGGCCUUAUGUGGGUUAGGUUAUCAAAGCAUGCAAAAUAUUAGGAGAAAAUUACUUCAAAAUUAGUAAAUAUUUAUAUUAUAAAGUAAUAUAAACAGGCGGGUUAGAAUUAUGGUUUCAUAAUAAUAGUUUUUUCGGAUUAAUAAAAUGAGCGUGUUAGAAAUAUAUUCUUAUAAUAACAGUUAUUUUUUAUUAAUAAAAUAACCGGGUUAAAAUUAUGCUUUUAUGAUCAUGAUGGUCAUAAUAAUACUGAAAAAAUAAAAAAAAUUAUAUCUAAACACAAAUUGUUUUAUAUCACUUCUUAAAAAAUUAUAUUUAUAAAGAAAACAUAAAUUAGAUUACAAAUUUUAAUUAAAACAAAAUUCUCGUGCGAAUGCACGGGAUAAAAUCUAGUGUAAGUGUAACAACAAAUGCCUUUUUUUCGUUCAUGAUUUUUAAUAAGGAUUACAUGUAAUAACAUUGUUUUUGCCAAAAGGUUUUUUAUUAGAGAUCUCGUUAAUCUACCCAAGUUAUAAUCCAUCACCAGUUCGAGGAUUGUAUCAUCGGAUGUGACCAAGUCAAUAACUCUCUGCCAUGGACUAGGUUAAAUCGAAUAAAAAUAAUUUAAGUUUCUAAUCAUAAACAUAAUGGUGCGAUUGGCUACGUUUCUUAAAAGAGUUGUUUUUCUUGCCGAAAAGGGAUUGGGUUUUGAAAUUUAAGUGAAAACAACCAAAUCAUCCCAUGUCGACCUAAUUCGGUUGGGUUUUUCCUUUAUAGUUUGUUGAAAUUUUGUUCACAUCCCUCCCUUUAUCAGUUAUUACCAAAGAAAGAUACAACUGAUAGAAAGAUAAUUGGGCCAAAAUUCCUCUUUAUUGUAUAACGUAACGUCUAGUCUUUGGUAAUGUUGUUUGUUAAUGAUUAUGUGUUUAUCGUUUCUUGGGCUUUCGUCACGUGAUCCUGCACCACUCCAUACUCUCACUCACUUUGUCACCGCCGCUCUUAUUUACUACAAACGCCAUUGUUUUGUUGUGAAAAUGUGAUGAGAAAUUUAGAAAUGGAAGUUAUUGCUUUCAUGUCUUUAUUUUUUCAUGGACACCAUAAACAAAGUAUAGACUUAAUGCUAAUUAAUUACAUGACAUAUGAUAGAAUAAUGAUAAGAAUGAUUAUUGUGAUUUAUAUGUGUGAAUAAUAGUAUGUUCUUCCAUUAAUACGUAAUUUUAGCUAUUAGGAGUAUCUUUAAUCCAAAAAAAAGUAAUAUUAGGAGUACAAAAGAAAUAUUCUUCCAGCUUCUUGUUGUAUAUACACUACAAAAAAAGAGUGUUUUACAUCACUUAUUUUUUAUGUUUACAUCAGUUUUAAGUGAUGUAAAAGAAUUUUGCAUCAUUUAAAUAAGUGAUUCUGAAAGUGGUGAUGCAAAUAGUUUGCAUCAGUUAUAGAAAGUUUUACAUCGAGUUUUAGAAUCGAUGUUACUAUGUAUCAUUUGCAAGAAAAUGAUGUUAAUACUUACAUCAGUUAAUUUAAUCGAUGCUAAUAUUUGUUACGGUUAUCAUAACUGAUGUCAAAUGAUACAUCAUUUGAUAAUAAAUGAUACUAACAACUGUAUCACUUAUAACAAAUGAUGUCAAUACUUAUAUCAUUUGUGUGUAAUUGAUGUUAAUAUUUGCUACGGUUAACAUAAAUGAUGUCAAAUAAUAUAUCAUUUGUUAAUAAAUAAUACUAAUAAUUGUAUCACUUAUAACAAAUGAUGUCACUAUUUAUAUCAUUUGUGUAUAAUUGAUGUAAAAAUUAGCAUCAGUUACCAGAAAUGAUCGUAAUAGUUAUAUCACAUAUAACAAUCGAUGCAUAAGCAUCUUGUGGUUUGCAUCAUUUUAUAGAAAAAUGACGAUAAUCUAAUAUAUUCAUAAACGUCAUUUUAGCAUAUUAAAAAAUAAAUUUAAUAAAUUUAAAAAAUAUUUACAAAUUAAUAUUAAAAUUUUUAAUCAAUUAAUUAAAAAAUUGAAUCUAAAUUGCAUAUUAAUAUAUUAAUAACUGAAUCACAAUGAAAAUCUAAAUUGCUUAUAAAUUGUAUCAUCCAAAUGAAAAAACUGUUUAAAACAUAAUUAAACUAAUUAAAUAAAAAGUUCUUAAACUAAUGUUGAACAUGCCCACCAUAAUCUUCAAUCACCACCUCUCUAAUUUCUGUUGGUAUCAUCUCCCGUUUCCUAAUAAAAAAGCAGACAACAAAAUAAGACUAAUUAGAAUAUCAUCUGAAAUUUAAAACCUAUAAAAUUAAUAAAUAAAAUUACAUUCACCUGAGAGUUAGUAGGAUUUGCUAAAUUCUUGAAAGCAGCCAUAAAAUUUUUAGUCCAUGCAAUUGAUGCCUAAAUAAACACUUUAAAAUAUCAGUUUUUUUUAAUUAUAGAUUAUAUGAAUACAAUAUAAAUUACAAAUGAUCGACAUACCUGUUCACCAGAUUGAGCAGCAAGUAUCUGUUGAAUGAACAUACUCAUAGACUUAUUUGUUUCUUCUAGUCCUUUCAUAUUUGUCUUCAUUCGAAUAUAGGCUUCAGAAUUUUCUAUCUCUGGUGUUACUUGAGUAGUUUUACCAAAUAACUUUGAAGGUGUGGGUCCACGUCCGACACAACGUAUUCGUCCUGGCCGUUCUAGACCAAACACUUGGGCAUAUUCAUCAUCCAAACUAGCUAUAACAUUGGCUGUGACUUGUCUUGAUGGAUUUUGGGUUAACAAUGUUGUAAGUGCUUCCUGAAAGUGAAUUAAAGUAUAAUAUUCGGCAUAAUCAAAAGAAAAUUUAUCAAAGUAGAAAUGAAUCAAUUAAGAAUUGAACUAACCCCACGUGUUUUAGCUUCCUCUGAUACAAAACUUCCAUCAGAUUUCGUACGAGUUGCAACGAAGAAUUCAGCUCGACUUGGUGUUUUUCCCGUCUUGAUUGUCUGGUACAUGCAAAAAUCAUAUACAUAAUUAGAUUUAAUUCUCAUGUAUGAGACAUACAAUAUAGUUUGUUUACUUACAAUCGCACGUCUUUUCCUUCCAAAACUCUUUCUUCCACACAAAUGAGGCAUAGUGUUCUUCUUUUGAUUCUUUGUAUUCCGUUCUUGCAUUUUCUGAAAGCUCAAGAAAAAAAAUUUACAUAUAUUUGAUAUAUUAUAUAACAGUCUAUCUAGUAAAUAAUUUAUACCUUCCAGUUUUCAGUGAAUCGUAAGCAUACGAAAUUAUGCCACUGACUUUCAGGAACAUUAUUGGGUCGAUUUUGCAUCGUUUCAGUCCGAUCAUCCCGUUUGUAAUUUUUCCAAAGACGCCCUUUGAAACUGUUGCAUCUGCUCCCUAGAACACUCAUCACAUACUUCCUUCUUGUCGUUGGGUUAUCAAACCAAAAUUUUGCCUACAAAUUUACGACAUCAGUAAUGUAUCUUUUGAGCCAAUAUCUCCAUGUGGCGAGAAUAAUGUGCUGUCAUAAUAAAUUAUUAAUAAAGAAAUUAUUAUUUCUCAUAACUCAAAUAAAACUACACAAAUAUUUGAGUUAUUUUACAAAUGUACAAGCAAAACCACAUAAAAUAGUUUAAAAGAAGCAAUUUAACAAUUAUUAAUGUAGUUUUUAUGAUGUAUAUAGUUGAUAAUAAUAUAUUCAGGAAUCAUCUAUUAUUUUAAUUUUAAACAAAGCAUAUGUAUAAUAUUUUUAUUUUUUAACAAUAAUCCAUAAGUACUAAAAACAUCCAAAAUAAUUCUAUGAGUAAAAAUAAAAAAUCUAAAUUAAUAAUAUUUUUAAUAUCAAAAAAUAUUAGUUUAUAUAUAUAUAUAUAUACAAAUAUUUAUUGUGUUUUUGUUAAAUAUUUAAGUGCAUCAUUUUGUAUCAUGGAAUGUCAAUUAAUUUAGUACACUUAUCGAUUGUAUUUAUUUGAGAUAAAACUGUAUUCUUGGGUAUAGUUUAUAUAUCGAUUAUCUGCCUUAUUCAGAUUAAUAAUUAAAGUGUUAAAAAAUAAAUUUAUUCUUUUAAAAUUAAAAAUAUUUAUAUCUUGUGAGUUAAUAUAUCUAAGUAUCCAAAACGUUUUAACACUAUUUAUAAAAAUACAUAGAUAUUACCUGAAUUACAUCCCACACCUUAUUUUUUGUGUUGUCACCAACCAAUCUCCAUUCAGUGUAGUCAAUAGGUAACAAAUUCACAUCAGUACUUAAUUGACCCAGCCAUGAUCCAAGUAAACCUCCAGAAUCUUCAACUGGUUGACCGCUAUCUCCAUCAAACUGUACUAUCACUUUGCAAUUUUGCAAUUUCCAAACAUCUCUAGCUGACACCAUUUUUCCUUCUAUGUUCCCAGCCGUAUCUUGUUAACAAUUAUAUACAUUAUGAAAAAAAUUAUUAGUCUAAGAUAACUCAAAUCAGCAUAAUAUAUUUAUAGAAUCUAUUUACAUUACCUAUGACUUGUACAUUCCAUUUGAAGCUUUUGCAGUCUUGAGCAAGUGUAGGAGGAGAAUCAUAAGUUAUAUCAUCUGGUGUUUGUGUCUCUGAAUCCUGAAUAUCACUAAAAGACUGCAAAUACUCCAUAACCUAAAUUAAAAAGUCAUAUUUAGUUAACAAUAACAUCUGUAGCAACGAAAAAACAAAGUGAAGGCAAAAUAUAUAUACGUAACAAAAUUUCAACUACUCUAUAAAAUUGCAAAUACAAAUCAUUCAUCAAAGUCAUCCUUAUUAGAAACGAGACUAAAAUAUACUAUAAUUUUUAGGAUUAUAAAAAGGAAGAUAGUAAAAAAACUAAUAAAAAUAUGUUGCUUGGAUCCAACUGCGUAUAGAUGAGAUCUAAAUAUAGUGGUUUAAUCAUACAAACUCCAUUCUGAAAUGAAAGAGGUGACGUCACCUAGACUUAAUCGGCCAGAAAAAUUUGUGACAAAAAUCUGCUAGAUUUAAUCACCUAAAUUUGUUCAUCGAUAAUUCUGAUGCUUAAUUCAUAUCAAAAGCCCACCGUUAGAUGUUCAGAUGUUAAUCAAGCUUAGUACUUUUAAGCGAGUUCGGCCAGAAAAACGACAAAGACAAAAAAGCAAUCGGCCAGAGAACGACAAACUUUUAAAACCUAGAUUUAGAAGUUGAUUUCGAUUCUGUCAAACCCAGAACAAAAGCAUAUAACAGAUAUGAUUAAACACAAAAAUAUCAAACAAUAUUACCUUGAUUUUAAGCAACUUCUGGUUUUUGAUAUGAUCAGCGCCGUUUUCCAAAGAGAGUAAAGAAGCCCUAAAUAUUAUUAACUUAGUGGUAAUCAAUUUAUAGAUAAUUAUUUAUUAAGACUUAAUAUGUACGUAAUUCAUUUCCCGCUUGUAAUCAAUUAAAUAGCGGGAAUUGUAAUUAAAAAAAUUCAAUUAUUUUGGACGACUAAUAAAUUCCCACUUAAAUAAUUGAACUUGUGACAACGGUGGGCAGUGGUGGCAGUUGAGAGAAGGAGAGAUUAUCAAAAUCGUUUGUUCUCUCCGGUUCUUGGCCUUCGCUCUUGAUCAUGUUCUUGAUGGUCACUGGCUUAACAUCUUCUUGGUCGAAGAACGAUUUGGUUUUAUUCAUGACAUGUCCAUCACGAUCACGAUUUGGUACCUGAUCAUCAUGAUCACGAAGAAGCUCUUGUUGUGGCCAUGUGAAGAUUGUUUGGUCUUGUCUCAUCAUGAAAGUAGUCUGGAUUUGUUGUUGUUGUUGUCCCUUCAUCAUCACCAUCAUCACCAAUCAUAUACUCUUCCCUGCAAACUUUUAGCUUUAGCAGUUUCUUUAAAUUUAUCCACUACGUUCUCUUGUACUUUGAUUAGGGAUAUCUUCGUAAUAAAUCUCAGAGACAGUAAGCAAAGGGGAAAAACGAAAAAAUUCAAUCCUCGGAUAGUCCUUUUUAAAACAGAGCUUAAUGUGAUGGUCACUGGCCACAUAUUUUGCUUUCCAUCGUUGUUCUUCUAUGUAAACAUCUGUCUGAGCUUAAUGUGAUGGUCACUGGCCAAAGGAUUGCCGUGUAUCAGGAUGGCUAGAAGACAAAGAUAUGGAGAGUGAGACAAUGCUCCUUACAGAGUUCAGUUACGACUUAGACAGGUCCAACGCACAGACAUUUGACAUUGCAGAUUCAGCUCACUCGGGACUUGUCAAUACUGUAAGGCUGACUUCACAUCCAACCAUGGAAGCUCAUCACACACUUGCAUCUACCGCUUCAGGGUUCACGGCCGUGAACUAGACUCAGUCUCUGUUGUUCAUGCUUGAUCUGAAAUCCACGUGAAACUCCUCUUCUCUGUAACAUUUCCUCUUAGAUAUCUCUCUCUCUCUCCUUUUCCUGGUUUAUGGGGUGGAAAAGCUUCGAGUCUGUAUUACUCUUCUUAAAUCUUCUAUAACAAAAAACGAAAACAAAGAGGAAAGAAAAUAAAACUAGGUAACAUUUCGAUUUGUUUUGAAUCCAUACCAAAUUCUAGUUAUCUUAAAUCUUUGUUAGUAAACAAAAAAGUUUGUUGGUAAUUUGGUAUGUCUUUUAAUAGUAUGGUUCAUAUGGUGUGAGGUUUAGUUGAUAAUAUUAAAACGAUGUUCGUGGUGCGCUUACUUCAACUUCCACUAGCUUUUUAAAAAUACAAAAAGUAAUAGAAAAGCAUCUCCUAAAACAAAAUAAUAAACUCAGAUUUAUAAAGCAUCGACAAACACAGAUUAAUAAACUCAGAUUUAGAAAACUAUCAGAUUCUUUGCUUCCUCUGUCCUCGGAGUUGCACAUCUCUGCAAUGUCACUUUUUGUGAAAUCUGUGUUUACAGAAUUAGUUGACCAACUUGUUCUAUCUUUUGCAUUGGAUCACCAGCAAGCAAGAAAAGCAGCAGAGAAAACACAUCAAGUUGUGAAAGUGGAAGAGAGAAUCAACAGAGUGGUGAUGGCUGCAAACAAAGCAGUGAAGAUAUUAAGAACAUUUAGAGAAUACAAACGAAUAAGAGGAAGGAUCUACGUAAUCCAGUUUGAAAAAUCUGCAUAACAUAUAAUUUCAUAAGAUUGAAAAAUAUAAAUCAGCAACAACACUCACCAUCAAACUAUUAUGAAGUAUCUAGAUCACCCAUAUCAUAUAUGUCUCUAGGCUGAAAAUGUACUGCAAUUUCCCACUCCGGCUCAAAAGGAUCUUUUACAUAAUACACCAUUUUAGCCUGAGAAGCCAAUAUAUAAGGCUCAUUCUCCUCAUCAUUUCCAAUAUGUAACAAGCGUGAAAAAUUAAGCAACUUAUGACCAUAUGUGUCAGUUUUAUAUCUUCGUUUAGAUCGAGUAUCAGCCCACUUGCAUUUGAAUAAUAUAACUUUGAAAACCUCAUAAUAGUUUAACUCCAUAACCUCAACCAAUUUUCCAUAGUAAGCUACAUCUCCAGCUAUUGGGUUAAGAUCACGAGAACUCGCGUAACUCAUAGUCUCAGCAGCCACAUAAACACCACUAUUUUGUGUUUUCAGGUCAGCCUCUCUUUCGGUUGUCCGGAACUUAAAUCCAUUGACAUUGUAAGCUGUAUACUUCACAACUUUCUCAGACGGACCUAGAGCUAAGCAUCGUAAAUCAUCAUUUAUACCAUCUAACUCAUUUUUUUCUACUUUCUCCUUGAUCCAUUUUGCAAAAUGGAGAUGCAUUUCUCUGUCAAUGUCAAUCGCACGAUUCCUCCUGUUCUGACGACCAUAUUUCUUCGACAACUCAUUUUUGAACUUCUUAUAAAGAAAAUUACACGAAUUAUUUUUAUUAAAAUAUAUCAAUAAAACAAAAAAAAAGUAUGUUCUUUGAUGAAAAAGACUUACCCUCGUAAGGGAUCAAGUAGAUGACAGUUGACUAAAAUAUGUCGAUGUGCUUGAUACCUCUCUACGUAACUAAGUGUAUGAACGUGACCUGCACCAACAGGUUUCCCAAGAUUUGGAAAAAGAAGAGGUAAUUCUGAGUUUGGUCUUACACUUGUGUCAGCCAGAGGUCGAUCGUCAGCACGGCUAACACGAUUAAAUCGUGUCUCUAUAUCAUCAAGAUACAUUGAGCAAAACGUUACACAUUCAUCAGCUAAAUACUGCUCACAAAUUGAACCCUCAGGUUUAGCACGAUUGCGAACAUAUGAUUUAAAAUAUCCAAGAGUCCUGUAAAUGAGUAAAUCAAGUAAGUUUCAACUUAUAUAUAAAUAUAGAUGUAUAUGUAAUGAGAAAAAUUCACCUCUCAAUUGGAUACAUCCAACGAAAUUGAACUGGUCCACCAUCUUUUGCUUCGUCGGUGAGAUGUACAAUUAAAUGUAUCAUCACUGUAAAAAACGAGGGAGGAAAUAACAUCUCCAUACGACAUAAAGUCACUACAAUACGGUCUUGUAAUUUAUCAAGUUCAUUGAUAUCAAUGACCUUAGCAGAGAUAUCUCUGAAAAAUCGACAAAGCUCAACAAUGACUGAAGUCACCUCUGGUGGCAGCAAUUUUCGAACUGUGAUUGACAACAAAUCUCGCAUUAUUAUGUGACAAUCAUGGCUUUUUAAACCUGAUAGCUUCCUAUUGUUAACAUCAACACAAUUAGAUAUGUUAGAAGCAUAACCAUCAGAGAAUUUUACAUCCUUUAAGACAUUUAGAAUAAUGUCUUUCCCAGCAUUAUUCAGAGUAAAACAUGCUGUCUGGUACUUUCCGGUAUCAUCGGGCCACAAAUCAGGACGUAUCCCAAGCUCACGAAGAUCUUUUCUAGCUUGUAAAUUGUCUUUUGAUUUUUUUUGGUCAUCCAAUAAUGUGUAGAUUAUGUUGUUGAACACAUUUUUUUCUAUGUGCAUCACAUCCAAGUUAUGUCGUACCACAGUAAACUCCCAAUAAGGCAAUUCAAAAAAUAUACUCUUUUUCCUCCAUUGUUGAGAAUUGUAUAUUUCUGCCUCGCCUCGACCUCUCUUUUUCCCAACUGAACCAUGUUUCUUACCAAGAAUAAUGUUAACUUGCUCAAGUUGAUGAACAAUUGUAGCACCUGUCAACUUCAAUGGUGGAGAUCGGGUUUCUAUUUUUCCAUCAAAACUAGUUUUAUUUUGACGAAAAUCAUGAUCUGGAGGAAGAAAACGACGAUGACCCAUAAAACAAUUUUUCUUUCCAUGGCGUAAACGUUGUCCACAUGAAUCAAAAUUGCAGUUUGGACAAGCUAAUGCUGUAUACGUAUUCCAACCAGAUAAAUUUCCAAGACCAGGAAAAUCACUAAUUGUCCACAUGAUGGCUGCUCGCAUGUCAAACGUUUGUUUUGUAGAAACAUCUAGCGUUUUGACCCCUUCAGACCAUAAUUCCUUUAAUUCUUUGAUAAGUGGCUGCAAAUAGACAUCAAUAUAUUUCUUUGAAUUUUUUUUGUUGUUUUUUUAAACUUAUUAAUAUUAUAUUAAAAUUUCCCAAACCAGGAAUCAGAGCUGGUUUACAAUUUGAUAACCGAAAUAAAAUAACUGAAUCAAACCAGAAAACAUUUGAGAGAAUCGAAAACAUCACCACCGAAAAAGAGAAUUUGAAAAAUAAAUUGAAUGAUUUCUUAUGCCGAUGGACUUCUGCCCCGGCGGCUAUGAAAUACAAGCUUUGCGGCACAUCGCAACCGUCAAUAUCAGCUUGAGAGCCGACCCAAGCCUCCAGAUCCGGCCAGUGAGUCCUGAUCCCCACUCGAUAUUUCUCGGAAAAAAAAAUCCGACAAAAGAAAUCACAGUUGAAAAUGAGCUGUCUCGAAGAAAUUUGAGCGGAGAUCUACCAUCACACAACACCGAAACUCUCUUCAGUCCACCGAUUUCCGGUUUUACCAACCAAUCCUUCGAUCCAGCCAAAGAAUCCAAGACAGCCUCCGGGCAACAAGGAAGAUAACUUACCGUCGUCGCCGUGAAGAACUGCGAGUCCGCAUAGAUCGGAGACGACCACCGCGGAAUCCAUCCUCAGCUUGUAGUGCAACCCACCUAACCGUUGCGACGACGCCAGAGUUCCUUUCACAUCUCUUCCGCCGCAUCCUCAAACAGCUUCAGAGCAUCUGAAAAGCAUCUCGGUUUGUCGAUGUAUCCGCCACAGCGCUACCUCGCCGCGUCGGUUGAACCACGCCACAACACCACCAGAGAAAGGAUGGCGAUUCUUCAAGCUUCUCCUUGCAACCAGCACCAUCGAUGAAGAGCAAAAGCAAGAUAAGAAAGGGGGACCCCCUCGCGGUGCCGAUGAAGAGCUCCGGUGACCGUAGGGGUCCAAACGAGGAUGAACAAAAUUGCCUACUAACGAGAAAGUAUUUUAGCGCGUCAGAUCUACUCUCUUUGUUUAUCCCUUUAUUUCUCUGAAUCUUGUUUAACUGAAUUAUAUACAUUAUAUUGGAGUUUUUACAUAAUCUUCAAGCCUCAAGAUCUGAUAAUUACUCUCACCAAAAAAAAAAAGAAUUUCAAAAGACUCAUUUCAAAACGUUGUUUGGUCACAUAUGAACUAUAAUGCCAAUUGCUAGUGAAAUACCAUUGUCACAACUAGAACUGUAAAGUUUUUUUUUAAAACUAGAACUGUAAAGUUCAUGUAAGUGUUUUGAUGGAUAUUUAAUAACUGAAUUACAUACAUUAUAUUUCUUCGCCAAGAUACAAAAGUUGUGAUUCUACUUAAUAAUGUUUAUCACCACAACAUUAGUAGAAAAAUAUGAAUCCAGUAAGGAUUUUUUCACUACUUGAAACAGUUCGAGGACAAUCAUCCAUAAACUCAUGACUUUUAAUUUUAUUUUACAUUUGGUUGUUCAAUAAACUUAUGAUUCUUGUGUUUAAAAUCGCUCUAUUCUUCAAGAUCUCUAUUUACUUUUAUGAGCAUGUGUUCGCAAAGGUUUUAUAAACUUUUGUAAACAACAACUAAGAUUGUAAUUACUAUCUUACCUUAUUGGUAUCGAGUUAUAUAUGUUUUGUUGAUGCUAUAAAGCCACAACUUUUGUGAUAUUCGUUCUUAAAAAGAUGAAAGUAAAAUUUCAAAUUUGUCCCAAACUUCUAAUGGUUUUUGUUGUUCUUACCAAUUUUACAUAAAUUAUGGCCCCAUAAACAAUACUAUAUUUAUGGGUAAACUGUUCCAAGCACGUUAUAUUCCUUUGUCAAUAAGUAUAAACAUGUGUUACUCUAUUAUUUUUUUUUUCACUUCUAAUAUAUGAGCAUUUUUUUCAGCUUAUCCACUUUUAAUUACAAAAUAAAUAAAAAAAAUAUAUUUUAUCCAUUAUUCUGACAGAGAAAACAAAAAUUAAUAGAGGGAUGAGGCAUACGAAAAAAAUACAAAAUAAGAAUUUGAAAUUGGGGGUUACACUUACACAAAGAACCGUAUCCUUUUUGAAAUUUCGAAUAGAAAAAAAAAAAACAAAUCGGCGCCUCCGAUGUUUGGGGAAAUAAGGAAAAAAACACACAACAAUAGUUUAAAAAAAAGAAAAUAAUAUACGCUCCCGUUGUUACCUCUGCUAUAUAAAACGCAUCCCUCUUCUCACUCACUUCACUCUAGAAAACCCUAGAUCUCUCUCUCUCCUCCUCCGGAUUUGGAUUUCGAUUCCAGAUCCGCGAAAAUCCUUAAUCAUCGUCUCUUUCAUCACUUCAUCCACCGAAAAUGAGAGAGAUCCUUCACAUCCAGGGUGGCCAGUGCGGUAACCAGAUCGGUGCCAAGUUCUGGGAAGUCGUCUGCGCCGAGCACGGCAUAGAUCCGACCGGUCGUUACAUCGGAGACUCAGAUCUGCAACUCGAGCGCAUCAACGUCUACUACAAUGAAGCUAGCUGCGGUAGAUUCGUCCCUCGUGCUGUACUCAUGGAUUUGGAGCCUGGAACCAUGGACAGUCUCAGAUCUGGACCGUACGGUCAGACUUUCCGUCCUGAUAACUUCGUCUUCGGUCAGUCUGGUGCGGGUAACAACUGGG
rnacentral:lncRNA from 1 species